rnacentral:rRNA from 1 species
AAUCCCUUUGGUACCCGUACCGCAAACCGACACAGGUAGACGGGUAGAACAUACUAAGGCGUUGAGAGAUUCAUGGUUAAGGAACUAGGCAAACUGACCCCGUAACUUCGGGAUAAGGGGUCCUCACAUGUGUGAGGCGCAGAGAAUAGGUCCAGGCAACUGUUUAACAAAAACACAGGGCUGUGCAAACUCGCAAGAUGA